AGAGUUUGAUCCUGGCUCAGGAUGAACGCUGGCGGCAUGCCUAAUACAUGCAAGUCGAACGAGAGGAAGGAAAGCUUGCUUUUCUGAAUCUAGUGGCGAACGGGUGAGUAACACGUAGGUAACCUGCCCAUGUGCCCGGGAUAACUUCUGGAAACGGAUGCUAAAACCGGAUAGGUAGCAGACAAGCAUUUGACUGCUAUUAAAGUGGCCUUGGCCAUGAACAUGGAUGGACCUGCGGCUGCAUUAGCUAGUUGGUGAGGUAACGGCCCACCAAGGCGACGAUGCAUAGCCGGCCUGAGAGGGCGGACGGCCACAUUGGGACUGAGACACGGCCCAAACUCCUACGGGAGGCAGCAGUAGGGAAUUUUCGUCAAUGGGGGGAACCCUGAACGAGCAAUGCCGCGUGAGUGAGGAAGGUCUUCGGAUCGUAAAGCUCUGUUGUAAGAGAAAAACGGCACUCAUAGGGAAUGAUGAGUGAGUGAUGGUAUCUUACCAGAAAGUCACGGCUAACUACGUGCCAGCAGCCGCGGUAAUACGUAGGUGGCGAGCGUUAUCCGGAAUGAUUGGGCGUAAAGGGUGCGUAGGUGGCAGAUCAAGUCUGGAGUAAAAGGUAUGGGCUCAACCCGUACUGGCUCUGGAAACUGAUCAGCUAGAGAACAGAAGAGGACGGCGGAACUCCAUGUGUAGCGGUAAAAUGCGUAGAUAUAUGGAAGAACACCGGUGGCGAAGGCGGCCGUCUGGUCUGGAUUCUGACACUGAAGCACGAAAGCGUGGGGAGCAAAUAGGAUUAGAUACCCUAGUAGUCCACGCCGUAAACGAUGAGAACUAGGUGUUGGGGGAAUAACUCAGUGCCGCAGUUAACGCAGUAAGUUCUCCGCCUGGGGAGUAUGCACGCAAGUGUGAAACUCAAAGGAAUUGACGGGGGCCCGCACAAGCGGUGGAGUAUGUGGUUUAAUUCGAAGCAACGCGAAGAACCUUACCAGGCCUUGACAUCCCUUGCAGAGGUAUAGAGAUAUAUCCGAGGUUAU
rnacentral:rRNA from 1 species